rnacentral:rRNA from 1 species
UACCUGCAGCUCGAGUGGUAACCGCUAUUAUUGGGCCUAAAGCGUCCGUAGCCGGUUUGGUAAAUAUCUGGGUAAAUCGUGUAGCUUAACUAUACGAAUUCCGGGUAGACUGUCAAACUUGAGACCGGGAGAAGCUAGAGGUACUCCUAGGGUAGAGGUGAAAUUCUGUAAUCCUGGGGGGACCACCAGUGGCGAAGGCGUCUAGCUAGAACGGGUUUGACGGUGAGGAACGAAGCCCUGGGGCGCAAACCGGAUUAGAUACCCGGGUAGUCCAGGGUGUAAACGCUGCUUGCUUGAUGUUAGUUGGGCUCCGAGCCCAAUUAGUGUCGGAGAGAAGUUGUUAAGCAAGCUGCCUGGGAAGUACGAUCGCAAGAUUGAAACUUAAAGGAAUUGGCGGGGGAGCACAGCAACGGGUGGAGCGUGCGGUUU